GGAUGUGAGGGCCAUCUGGCUGCGACAUCGGUCACCCCACUGACUGCCAGAGUUGAUCCGCUGGUCUGACUGGCUGAGCGGUGCUUUCUCCCUCAGUUCUCUGUGUGCAUCACUCUCAAAGCUGCGCAUUCAGUCUCAGUCAAGGAAGAUGACCAUCCCAGAGGAGGACUGUUCCUCAGUCAGGAGUAUCAGAGUAGCUGCACUCUCCCCCCUGCUACAAUCUCCACACAAGCUCUCAAGCGAAGCAGAAAAUUAACAAGAUAGUCCCUUUUACUUCAAGGCCUUCAUAAAUUUAAAA
rnacentral:snRNA from 1 species